AUCGUGUGGACAUCGUUGGGAAUGGAGGGAAAUAAGUGACUGUAUGGGUGUAUGGUCAUUGCAUUUUACGUUUCAAACUGAUCCUCCCGGCAGGCUGAGCCUGCCUGAGCGUCGGAUCCUCGCAGCACCGUUCCUGGGAAGGUGGGGCCCCAGCUUAUCCCCGAAUAACUGGGAGAUGAAACAGGAAGCCCUGUGACACACUUGAUCGAAAAUGGCACAGACACAGAAAAAUUGGGACUCAGCCCCCUCCGGUGCCUCUACCUGCCACCCACAGCCAGAAUGCAGGUGAAGGGUUCACCCUGGGACGCGGUGCUAACAGCUGUGGACUCCUAGAGCCUCCACGUUCGCGGGUGAUGUGUCUGUGAUGACACGGCCACAGUUUGGUCUGAUGGGCAAAGUGAGGAACAGGAGGCUCCAAGACUUGACUGAGGUGUGCAGCCGCUGUCAACUCUCCUACCCCCAUGUGAACUGGGACCUUACAAGGAGACUCUCGGGAGGCUCUACAUGACGGAUGCAUGAAGUUCUCCUUGGAUAUCCAGGAAACAAGGGCAACAAGGAAGCCACUAGUUGGAUAAUUCUCAUGAUCCCAAGAAGCAGAAAAAUCUAUUUUUAAAUUCACAUGGAAUCUUAAGGGGCCCCAAUAUCCAAAGCAAUCUUGAGAAAGAAAAACAAAGUCAGAGAGUUUGCACUUCCCAGUUUCAAAACCUAGUACAAAGCUGCAGGAAUCCAAAUAACUUGGUGCUCCAUGAGGACAGACAUACAGGUCAAUGGAACAGAACUGAGGGUCCAGAAACAAACCUAUACAUCUAUAGCUGACUGAUUUUUCACAAGAGUACCAAGCUGGGACAGCUGGGUUUCCACAUGCCAAAGACGGAAUACAGACCUCUCUCUUACACCAUAAAAAUUCGAGUUAAAAUUUGACCCAAAUGGAUCAAUGAUCUUAAUAUAAAAGCUAAAACGGUAAAACUUUUCAUGACAUCAUAUAUGGCACUGCGUUUCUAGAUCUGACAACAAAAGCAUAAGCACCAAAUAGCUUGGACUCCCUCGAAAUUGAAAACGUUUGUGCCUCAAAGGACAUUAUCAAGUAAGUAAAAAAGGCAAACUAGAAUGGAAUAAAAUAUUUGCAAAUCAUCUAUCUCCUAAGGAUUUACUAUCCAGGCUACAUAAACUACUCCCUACAAUGCAACAACAAAAAGAAAAUUCAGUGAAAAAAUGUGCAAAAGACUUGAAUAGAUGGUUCUCCAAAGAAGAUGUAAGCUGGCUAAUGUGCACAUGAGAAGAUGCUCAAUGUCAUUAGUUAUUAGGGAAAUGCAAAUCAAAAUCACAAUGAGCUACCACUUCACACCCACCAGGGUGGUAAUAAUAACAGUGCUAAUAGUAACAAAAUGGAAACUAACAAGUAUUGGAGAGGAUGUGGUGAAAUUAGUGCACUGCUGAUAGGAAUGAAAAAUGGGGCAGCUGCUAUGGAAAAUAGUUUGGUGGUUCCUCCAAAGGCUAAACAUAGAAUUGCCACUUGACUCAGCAAUCCCACUCCUAGAUCUGUACACAAAAAAACUGAAAACAGACACUGUAUGCCAGUGUGCACUGCAGCAUUAAUAAUACCUAAAAGGUGGAAACGAUCCAAAUGUCCAUCAACAGAUAAGUAGAUAAAAUGUGGUUUAUCCAUACAAUGGAAUAUCAUUCAGCCUUAAAAAGGAAUGAAGUGCAGAUACGGGCUACACCAUGAAUGAAUUUGAGAACAACUGUGCUAGCUAAAAUUAGCCAGACACAGAGGACAGACAUGAGAUGAUCCCACUUAGAUGAGGUACCUAGAAUAGGAAAGUUCAUGGAGACAGAAAGUAAAUUGGUGGUUACGGGGGCUGAGGGAGAGGGUAGACCUGGAAGUUAUAGUUCAUAGGCUCAGGGUUUCUGUUUGUGGUGAUGAAAAAGUUUAGGAAAUAGUGGUGAUGGUUGCACAGUAGUGUGGAUGCACUAAAUACUGUAGAGUUAUAGACACCAUGUUUUAAAAGACAGAUUUAGAGAAAUGUGUGGGCUAUACUCCCAUCACAGGUCAUCAAGAACAGGGUGAGAUGAACCGCUGGCCUUUGCAGGCCCCAACUGUCCCAGAGCUUCGCUCCUCACCAGUGUGAGUGACAGAACCCCACCUUGGAAGGCCCUUGCCUCAGCCAUGGAGGCGCCUCUGGGAUCCAUGUGAUCCAUGGAUCCUGGGAUCCAGGUCGGGUGGCCUGGGUUCUGCAAGGACCUGUCCCAGGAUGUGGGAACUGUAGAUAUUCCUCAGGCAAAAAGGAAUGGCCACGUGCCCUUCCGGUGAGUUCUCAGCUGCUAGCCACUGGUGUGCUUUGGAGCAUGGGACAUCUCCAUGCAUAAUAUAAUCACUCUUUCAGAGGAGUAGUCACAAAGGAAACUAUAUUAAAUUUAAUGGUGGGAAAAAUAAAGUCUCUUACACACACAUGUGCAUGUGUAUGCAUACACACAGACACACACACCAACACACACACAGGCACUCCCUGUGAGUGACAUCAGUGGCAAGUAGUAGCAAUGACACCCUCCCUAGGAACACACCACUUGCAUGCCUGUGGGCCCGAGCUCCUCAUUGCUCCCUGACGACAUGAACACCAGGCCUCUGUCACGGACCCCUGCAGCUUUAAGGCGGCUCGCGGUAGGCUAGGCAGUGCUCCCUGGCAGCAUCAGUUAGGAGGCCAUCACUGUGAGAGAGACCCCAGCUAGCUCAGACCAAAGAAAGCAGCACAAGGUGAUGAGAGGCUCAGGGGACUUGUCUGGGGGGGAGCUGGGCUGCUCCAAUAAGCGCGAAGCACAGCCCUUGCCUCCUGGAAGAGGCCGUCUCUCCCAGGUCCCAGAGGAAUCGUCUGACCCUCCCUCUCUGUCUUGCUCACUGCAGAUGCCACAGCCUGAGUGAGGGCCUACAAGGUGGGGUUAGGGCACACACCCCUGGCUAGGUAACCCAGGGCAAGGAGAGAAAGGACUUUGCUUCCUAGACUUCCAUGGUGGAGAGUGGCAUCUAUGGUUCUUCUCCCACCUGCGCUCAACACUGGAGGGGAGAAGUCAUCCGCAAAGGAACCUGGGGGUCAGCAAGUAGCAGGGGGGAUGAAGGACAGCCCAAACCCUAGUCCAUACAUUAAACGCAGGUCCUCCCUGUUAAACAUCCAAAUGCCAUAGACUGAGAAUCAAGGGUCAGGACCAGCGAAGGCUUUAAAAAUAUUUCCUCUCUAGGAAUCUUAGGAUAUGUUGUGCAUCUGGAGAGGCUGGUGGAAAAUCUGUGGGCUAAGGAGUUCAGGCUUCCUCUGCUCUCCACAAAGAGCAGACAGCCCUGCUUCCUUCCUCUCCAAGCCUCAGCAACUGCAGCUGUGAGCCCUCCCCACUGAGGCCAAGUGGGGCCUGCUCCCCUGUGUCAGCCUGCAUGGACCAUGACAUUCACCCCCUUGCAGAGACCGUGGCAUCUGGUGAUGUCAUCCCUUCUCCUUCUGCUGCAGAUCACAGGGACAUAGAAAUGACUCUCCUGGAAUGAGUGACAGGUGCAACUUGUUCCUGGUCUCAGCAGCCUGCAUGUUGGAGCUGGUGCCAGGUCAAAGGCAGGCAGGAAGCCAAGAGAUGGGUCAUGGCCCAGCUGGCAGAGAAGGGCACUUGGCCCGGGGUGGGGGUGCAUGGCAAGUGGGCCAGGGUCGGGCACAGUUCCCUGUGGUAAGUGCUGCAACAGUGGGCCUGAGGUCAGUCACACAGGGAAUUGUUCCAGCAGAGGCGUCAGGCCAGGCCCACAAUC